UACGUAGGGUGCAAGCGUUGUCCGGAAUUAUUGGGCGUAAAGAGCUCGUAGGCGGUCUGUCGCGUCUGCUGUGAAAACUCAGGGCUUAACCCUGAGCUUGCAGUGGGUACGGGCAGACUAGAGUGCGGUAGGGGAGACUGGAAUUCCUGGUGUAGCGGUGAAAUGCGCAGAUAUCAGGAGGAACACCGGUGGCGAAGGCGGGUCUCUGGGCCGUAACUGACGCUGGAGGAGCGAAAGCCAUGGGGAGCAAACAGG
rnacentral:rRNA from 1 species